rnacentral:tRNA from 1 species
GCGGAAGUACUUCAGUGGUAGAACACCACCUUGCCAAGGUGGGGGUCGCGAGUUCGAACCUCGUCUUCCGCU